rnacentral:rRNA from 1 species
CUGUCGUCAGCUCGUGUCGUGAGAUGUUGGGUUAAGUCCCGCAACGAGCGCAACCCUCGUCCUUAGUUGCCAUCAUUUAGUUGGGCACUUUAAGGAAACUGCCGGUGAUAAGCCGGAGGAAGGUGGGGAUGACGUCAAGUCCUCAUGGCCCUUACAGGCUGGGCUACACACGUGCUACAAUGGCAUCUACAGUGGGCAGCUAUCCCGCAAGGGUGAGCUAAUCUCCAAAAGAUGUCUCAGUUCGGAUUGUCCUCUGCAACUCGAGGGCAUGAAGGCGGAACCGCUAGUAAUCGCGGAUCAGCAUGCCGCGGUGAAUACGUUCCCAGGCCUUGUACACACCGCCCGUCACACCAUGGGAGUUGGAUUCACCCGAAGGCAGUGCGCUAACCGCAAGGAGGCAGCU